UACGGGGGGGGUAAGCGUUGUUCGGAAUUACUGGGCGUAAAGGGCUCGUAGGCGGCCAACUAAGUCAUACGUGAAAUCCCUCAGCUUAACUGGGGAACUGCGUGUGAUACUGGAUGGCUUGGAUUUGGGAGAGGGAUGCGGAAUUCCAGGUGUAGCGGUGAAAUGCGUAGAUAUCUGGAGGAAUACCGGUGGCGAAGGCGGCAUCCUGGACCGGCAUUGACGCUGAGGCGCGAAAGCGUGGGGAGCAAACAGG
rnacentral:rRNA from 1 species